UGUGUGUGUGUGUGUGUGUGUGUGCGCGUAUGCCGUCGGUAGAAUGGCACGGAAUGGCUUGACACUCUUCCCAUGUUGUGUGUUUGCCUUCCUGUGGCGUGUGUUUGAUGCAGCCUGUCCAGACCGUCCUUCUGCGAGUGCCCUAUUGAUUCGGCCGUGACAGGCGAGCUCCGAGACGGCUGGGGAAAGGGUUCUUUAUUUUUCUGAAAAGGAGAUAAAUACCACAGGCCACACAGGCCCCUCACACAACAACUCCUGGGGCCGUUUAGCAAGAUAGAUGGGAGUUAAAGAGGUCCAUCCACUCCUCUGACGUGUGUGUGUGAGUGUGCAAGACAGAGCAGAAGUGCAGUGUUUCUUUGGAUGAAUGUAGUGUUUCAAGAGAUUGCAGCAGACUCAACUCUUUUUCUCACUCACUCCUACAGACAUAUACACUCUCACACACACCCAUAUAUACAAACACUUACAUGUGACUGCUUGAAAGAGACGGCCAUCAAAGUCAAUCCACAUGGCUUAAAAAUGGAUUUGUGUGAUUUCUGUGGGGCUGAAUGAACUGCAGUGAUCUCUCUUAUUCUCACGCAGAUACACACACACAGACACACAGACACAGAUAGACACAUACGUUCAAAGUUUGCGUUCAUAGUGAUCCCUGGUUUCAGUGCCAGUCGACCAGAACACAUCCCAUCCCUGAGCAGUGCAGGCGAUAAGUCCUCAUUAACCAGACGCGUCUCCUCACGUCUUUCGUGACAGCAGGGGCUUGGCCUAGAAAAGAGUUCACAUCAAAGCAAACUCGAACUUAAAACACCUUUUUUUGGUUGUUUGUUUUUUAUUUGUCUGUUUUGAUUUCACUGCUGGCACUACUAUAGGGGCCUAAAGUAGUUUGUCCCUCUUGUUUUAGCAAACUUAAGCAAACACGGCUCUGUGUGACGUGUAGAAGGCCCAGAGUUCCUCAUGGAGACUCAUACUUUGCUGGCUCAUAAUUUUCCCUUGUGCUGACCAAUGCAAGAUAAUCACCCACAACAUUAAAGUUGCACACACUACAAGUUUCUUAGUGACCAGACCUUUGUGUCCAGGUUGUACUGUAAGCCUGGUUUCUAACACAACAUGACCUUGUCCAGGACUAAAUUAGUAGUGUAGUUAGUUCAAUAGUACAAAUGAUCCACUUUUUUCCAUUUAGGGUAGGUCCUUUAGCAUUAUAUUGUGUCCAUAUUCUAUAUGUCAAUAUAUAGACACCAGUCCUCCAGAUCAAGCCUUCUCACCUCUCCUCAAAUCCAGAUUCAGCACACUUUUAGUCCUGAAAUGCCUUUUCUGAUUGAAGAAGAAGAUCAUGAAGAAUACUUGAUUGACUUGCUUAUCUCAAGCUACAAGCCUUUGUAGAAAUGAGCUCCUCCCCCUCGGUAUCAUGAAAAGCCAGCUCAAAAUAGUCUUUCAUGCCAUCAUAUCUUGUCAUAUCCUUGACACAAGAAUCACAUUGCAUUAAACAUGCACGUAUUGCUGUUCGAAGAGAGGCAGCAGUAAGAAGCUGUUAAGUUUGUGCCUGCGUCCCUGUGCGAAAGGGUAUUUAGAGAUGCAUCAUAUCCUUCCAGUGUUCUCUAAGAACCUAAGACUGCAUUAGCAGGUGGACUGACUAUUUGCUAAGUGCAUCUCCAGUUUACCAACUAAACCUUCUUUUUUUUUUUUUUUCUCCGAUUUCUUCUGAUGCUGCCAUCCCAGACACCAGGAAGACAUCAUCAAAAUUCAGGAUUGCACAUUCAUAAGAUUUUGUCAUCCAGGGAUUUCUGGGAGGUUCUUGGCUGCAGCAGCUCUUGUGUUUCCCUCUGUGCUGAUCUAGAGAGGCCUGUGGUCAUAUCUGCAACAUGUGCUGAUCUAGAGAGGCCUGUGGUCAUAUCGGCAGCAUGUGGUGAUCUAGAGAGGCCUGUGGUCAUAUCUGCAGUGUGUGCUGAUCUAGAGAGGCCUGUGGUCAUAUCUGCAGCGUGUGCUGAUCUAGAGAGGCCUGUGGUCAUUUCUGUAGCGUGUGCCUGUAAGUUCUGAUGCCUGCCUCACAACCCCAUGCUUCAUCGUUCCUUUGCCUAAUUUGAUGAAAUAAAGGAGGGUUUAAAAUGAUCUAUCAUACGAAAAAGGUGAAGGGGGCGGAAUCGAUUUUACACCCAAGCCUUCCUCAGCGAUGGAAAUUGCCGUAUUUUAUAAUUAAUUGUAAUAGAUAAAUGUAUGACUUACUGUAAGUGGAAAGUGGUAGAGGGGUGCUUGAGUGUAAGAGGGCCUUUCUUAUUGAAACAUUUUUAAUGGACUAUCAAUUUAUUCAUCCUUUCAGUGCCAAGCUUCUCUCUGUCUCCCCCACCCCUCUCUUGCCCUCUCUUUCUCUCUCUCCUACUCUCUCUCUCUCUUUCUAUCCGGGAAAAGUUUUAUGGGAAUUAAAUUUAUUGCUGUAAUAUAUUGUUUCUGUGUGGGUGCAGGACAGCUGGGAAGUAUGCCCUGAGCUCUGCAGCUGGUGAAGUCGUGUGGGGUCUUAAGAUUAGAGCUGCCCGUAACCAGCUUCAGGUGUUGCCCAAGAGGCCCCGGUCGCCUCGUCCAUCUCUCUGAUGCUUCAGGGCGGCCCACAACCUAAACUCCAUCUCUUUUUUUUUUCUCCUCACAAAUUUAGAGAGCAGUUUAGAUCGGUGGCUAUGAUAGGAAAGCAAUCCGUGCCCAUGUUAAUCCACUGCUCAAGGUGGUUUCCCCUAAAGUGGUCUAUUUUUUGUAUUCUCAAAGGAAGAAAAAGAAUCCUCUAAUGGUGUCGUUCUGUAUAGUCCUCAUUGAUAGAUGAUUACGCCCCCUACUGUUCAGUCUUUGCAGUACAGUGUGAACGUGUGUGUGAGAGAGAGGUGUGAGAAUUCAGUUGGGGUAUAUGGUGUUGAGGGCAUUACCAAAGACUCUGAUAGUGUAAGUGUGUGUUCAAGUGAGAUGGCUCAAGCGUCCAGACUAAGAGCAGAGUUGUUGGUAGGUUCUCUGCUGCUCUCGAGCGUCCAGACUAAGAGCAGAGGUGUUGGUAGGUUCUCUGCUGCUCUGAACAGAGCCUCUGGUGUGGUGCAGCCAUGUGCUCAUGAAAUUCCGUUUCCUUUCCCUGUUAUGCCACCACCACAAAACAAAAACAAAAAACAGAGGGCUCCUAUUUCAGCCUGUAGGAGCAGAAGAGUGAAUGUGUUUGAUUUUUAAGUACAGCCUCUUGUAUGUAUAACACACACACACAUUCAAGACACAACAUACACGGAUCAAGGGCUGAAUGUCUCUGUAUGCACUACAGAACCCACACACACACUGAUUUCUAUUAGACCUCGCUCCAUGUUUCAGACUGAGGUCACUAGCCUUUGGCUGCGUGGAGACAUCUUAGUAACAGAGACCCAUGAGUUAUGAUGGAUUGACUACCUGUGAUGGGACAACUAUUCUGAAAAUGGCCUAUUUUUGUACUAUAUAUAUAUGGUGCAGUGUCAUUUACAUGUAAUUUAAAAAAAAUUGCCUUUUUUUCCUUUUUAUUUAAUUGAUGUCAAUAUGCGGAUUAUAGAUUCUACGAAAAAUAAAGAUCUAUGCAAACUUUA